GACGUAGGGGGCAAGCGUUAUUCGGAAUCAUUGGGCGUAAAGCGCUCGUAGGCGGAUCGGACAGUCGGUGAAGAAAGACCCGGGCUCAACUCGGGGAACGGCACCGAUACUAUCGAUCUUGAGGCAAUCAGAGGGUGAUGGAAUUCCCGGUGUAGUGGUGGAAUGCGUAGAGAUCGGGAGGAAUACCAGUGGCGAAAGCGGCACCCUGGCGUCGUACUGACGCACAUGUGCGAAAGCGUGGGGAGCGAACGGG
rnacentral:rRNA from 1 species